GGAGAAGAUAUUUUAAGUUUAGUCAUUGAUGUGUAACUUACAUAUGAAAACACCUGGUAUAGGGCCUCCAUUUGUAUUAUUGUCCUGGGCCCAUUUUCAUUACUAGAAGUUUGAAUUCACUUCCUUUGAGCCAGGCAGACCUCUUGCUUUCCUCAUUAUUUGUACCUCUCUUCCUAUUUCCCUCUCCUCUGUCUUCCUAAAUAUGCAUAGCUGAGCCUUAUUAGGAUAUAUAGCCAGGAUUGGUAGAGAUUUAGGGGGCUCCCUUUCCUCUCUCCCUUUAACCAUUUCCCACCCCCUCAGGACAUGCGUGACAGAUGAUAGGCAGGGGCCAAGGGUCCUCUCUGGUCAAUGGCUGGCCACCUUUUUACCUCUUAAGAGGUUUCAAGAUAAUGAUAUCUGUGUAACUUCAUGGUAAGAAGAUAGAGCUCCAUUCUGCUCCCGCCAUGGUAACCCGAAGGCAAGGAAAUGGAGAAUCAGGCAGGAAUCCCCAAACCCCAGAGUGGUAUAAGCUGACAUUUAGGAAGAACACAGACGGCUGUCUCCCCUGAAAGCCAAACAGAUACUCAUGGGCCAGGUAAGUUCUCCCUUUCACAUUUAGGACCCCCAUUAACAAGAGUCUGCCUUUUGUGGUUGGUGUUUUCACCAUUUUCAUUUUAGCCAAGAAAAAUAAGAACUUCUGGGGCCACUGAUUGAUCCCUUUAAAUUGAGGGCAGAAAGCUGGCCAUUUUUCAGAAGCGAAGAGCGUCAGCAGUGGUGUUAGGUAUAACUAGAAGAGGGGGAAGAAGGGGCAAAAAUAGAGGUGGGGCAAAGUGUAAACAGGAAAUAGAAGACACAAAGCCAAACCAGCUUGAACAUUUUUAAGGACUUGAAACUCCAGGGAGUGGUGGAAACAAACUCCAGAUUGUUCCUGUCCUAAGUAAACACGGCAAUGUGUCUCUUACAAAGCUCUGACCACAGCCACUCUUUGAUACUGAUAGAACUAUUGCUUAUUGAAACUACUAUGAUGAUUUGCCCACUAACCUCCACUGGGCCCUCAGUAGCUGCCAGGCACCUGGCUAAGACUGAACAUCCUCUUGUCAAUCCUCACAGGAAGACUUGAAGUGAAAAUUGCAGGCUCUGGACUUGACUAGCCUGGGUUGGAAAUCUGGCCCUGUAGAGCUGUGUCAGAGCAAAUCAAAUUCUUCCCUGAGCCUAUUUCCUCAUUCAUUAUACCCAUUCUACUAAAUGCAUGUAAUAACUAUUAUACCUCUUAGAUUUCAACAUUAGACCAUUUAUCAGGGGUAGGAAGUAAGCAACCAAUAACAAUGUCACUUAUUAUUCACUGUUGGUAUUAUCAGUACCAGAAGGGCAAAGAAGCUUCUGAAGUUUGUCAACCUUAAAUAAUAAGAUAUAGAAAAUAUGACUAGCUAUAGAGUUUAUUCAAGCCCAAAGCUUGAGGAUGGCCACCCAGGAGCAUAGAUUCAAGUUUCCCUGAAUGUAUAUGCUGAGUAGCAGCAAUUAGAAGUGGGUUUUUGUUUCUGUGUUUUUUUGUUUUGUUUUGUUUUGAGAUGGAGUCUCCCUUCGUUGCCCAGACUGGAAUGCAGUGGUGUGAUCUCAGCUUAUUGCAAACUCCACCUCCUGGAUUCAGGAGAUUCUCCUGCCUCUGCCUCUGCCUCAGCCUCCCGAGUAGCUGGGAUUACAGGCACCUGCCACCACGCCCGGCUAAUUUUUAUAUUUUUAGUAGAGGCGAGGUUUCACCAUGUUGCCCAGGCUGGUCUCGAACUCCUGACCUCAAGACCUCACCCUCCCAAAGUGCUGGGAUUACAGGCGUGAGCCACCGCGCCCGGCCCUGUCUUUUCUCAAGGUCACUUGGCCCAGUGUCACAGAGCUGAACCAAGAUGGUUAGGCUGAGGGAUAGGUCCCGAAGUGCUCAGAUCUCCGGGCCUCAAGGCCCAGGCUGGGGUGGCACGGCAGGGGCUGAUGGGGAGGUGCCCAGGCCGCCGGCGGAUGCUCCCGGAAGAUGCUCUAAGCUGCCGCUCCAGGUAUCCCCUGGGCUGAGGCUACCUGGAGACGCCCACGGCAGUGACACACCAAGCGGGGUAUGGCGAAUCGUCAGGUCCGCAAAACCACCCAGUUCAGCAACUCAUGGCUAUGCCGAGCCCGCCGCGCUCAGCUCGGCCAGAAACAGCUCCUAGAGCCAGGGACUGGACCGCCCCCGCUGGCCUCUGGCAGGCAAACAGCCACCGGCCACGAAAUAGAUGGCCGCGAGGGCUUCCGGGAGCCGCGGGGCAGGCCGGGAGCCGGGCCGCACAGCCAAUGCCCGCGCGGGGGCCGUCGGUAGUUACCCGGCAACGAGGUGGACGCCCAGUAGAGGGAGCGGAGCCAGUAGGGCUGGAAGAACUGGCAAGAAAGCCCUAGAGAGAGGCGACCUGCCAAUUUUGGAAGCGGCUUUUUGUUUUGUCCCCAGAUCACUCAUUCCUACCUGGUCUUGGAGGAAGAUCGUCAAGGCAAAUGAUAAGAAACAGAAAUAAACCAGGGGAACAAAUAAUGAUAAAAAAGAUACUCAUAUUUGUUGAGCACUUACUGUCGGCCUGGCUCUUUGCAAGGAUUACUUAAUUUGAUCAUCUGAUUUUGCUGUCCCAAGUUGUAAAUGAGAAAAUAGGAGUUUAGACAGAUUAAGCAUCUUGGCCAAACUACCUCAAACUAGGGAGUGUCAGAGCUGGAAUUUGAACUUGGGUGGGCAUGAACUCAGGUGGCUUGAGUUCUUAAUGAGUCAAACCGUGGACACUCAUUUCAGUUCAGCAAACCUAAAUCUGUGUUCCUACUAGGCCAUGCAGGGCCAAUCCAGGUUUUAUGGGGUCUGAAGCUUAGACAAUGUUGGGGGGGGGGGUCCUCUUUUGGAAAAAAGAAUAAAAAAUUACAAAUAUAAAGUUAGGUACAAAAAUGAACUUAGAAUGUAAAAAGAAAUCAUAACAAAAUAUUUUUGCUAAUUUUACAAAAAUAUACGACCAUAUGAAUGCAUAGCUAGGGACUCAACGAAGCCGUCUUUGACCCUUAGCUUCCCUUGAAAUCCUUCAGUCAGAUGUCAAACUACCUUGCAAGCUUCUCUGCGGUUCUCCUCCCACCCUGUCUCCCAGCCAAAGGACCUGAGACCCUAGCAACAGGCUUAAUAGGGCUUUUCUGGCCAUAGGAGCGAUUUUAGCCUGAGUCAACUUGAGUGCCAGAGGGUGAAUGCCCUCAGAAGCAGCUCCCAAAUACUGAUGAACAGGGAGUUGGUGGAUAAAUUCCCUAGCUUCCUCAUCCCUCAAGUGAGAUCAUGCUGAGACACUUUGUGGUUCUUAGGGUGUAGUCCCAAACCAGCAGCAAACUGUACCACUUGAGAACUAGUUAGAAAUGCAAAUUCUUAGCCUACUACUACCCUGUACCUACUGAAUCUAAAAUUGUAGGGGCUGGGGCCCAGUCAUUGGUGUUUUAACAAGCCCUCCUAGUGAGUCUGUGCUGAAGUUUGAGAACGACUGUUCUGCUAGGCUGUUCCCCAGAGCUCCCUUAUGGGCUUGAGCUCCCGUUGUCUACAAUGGUAACCUGCUUGAUAACACAUCUUUUUUUGGUCUCCUUCCCUUUCUUGUCUCACUUCCUCAUUCUUCAGCUGGAGCUUCCUGAAUUCACUUCUAAUAAACGACUUGCACUUUAAUCCUUGUCUGGGAUCAGCUUCUAGAGAAACACCACCUUAGAUGAGAACAACUAGGGGAGGUGUCAUUGCCCAGUGAGGAGGAGGACGAUGGCUGGCUUCAGGGAGGACCAAAUGCUCUGCCAAAUGCUUUGCUCUCAUUGUCUGCUUCACCCUCACAAUGCCUCAGUUGAGAGGGAGAUGUUGCCCCCCAACGGGGAAACUAGGGUUUGGAGGAUUUAAGUGGCUUGCCCAAGAAUUUGAAUCCAGGUCUGAGUCCAAAAGGUGAGCUCCUUACCAGUGAGGGCAGAGGGCCAGCCCAUGUUUUGCUCUCUUGUCAUUCCUCCUCUUCUCAGAGCAGGCAAGCGUUAAAUGAAAAUUGUAGGAGGCCAUUGUUUUGGACUAAGUUUCUGAAUUAGGCCCCAGCAGACCAGGCUAAAAAUCCAAAGGGAGUCACCCAUGCUAAAGUUCCAUGGCACUAAACCCAAACUAAGUAGUUACCUGAAAAGAGGUAACAGCCAAUGUCCCAAACAGGCCAGUUCAAAUCUCAAUGGUCACAAGAGUGAAUCCCCUCUGCUUUAUUCCUUAUAUGAAAGAAGUAGCGUUGAGUAACCUGAUGCUAAUGAAUCAGUUGUUUUUCUAUCAUUCUGUCUCCCUGUCCCCACCUCGUGAGGGAAGUGGCUCUGAAGCAACUAAUAGGCUCUUUGUUCUUCUCUUCUGUUUCCUUCAGCCCUCUCUGUCUAUAAAACCAACUCCCUCUGCUCAGCUUAUCAGAACACUUAUUCUAUUUUAUGGAAUGAAGUGUUGCCAGAUUCUAUAAUUGCAAUAAAGCCAUUUGAGAUCUUUAAGCUAAAUUUCUUAUCAUUUUGUCUUUUGAUACAGGGAUCCAGUUUUGUUGUGAGGAGUGCUAUAGGCUGGACACUUUGGAAAAAUCCCGAGUGCACUUUGUGGACACUGCUGGCCUGAAAUAGUGGGGCACACUGGCCUGAGAGCUCCCUGGCUCCCAGUGCCUAAGGUCCUUUACCCCAUACUCCCUCAAGGUCCAUCCCUAUACCCUCCAGCCCACAGCAUGUGACCAAGCAUGUGCCCCUUAACCUGGAGCUGGAACCCUUCCUUUCACAGAUACCUGGAAAUUGAGCCAGAUCUGCAUCCGAGGGACACUAGAAGGGAUGGGGAGGAGCGCUUACCCCUGAACUCUGUUUUGUCUCAUGUUUGGAGGCCCAAGGUCAUUUGGUUCUUCAGAUUUCCAGCAAACUAUAGCUCUCACUCCCUUCCCGCAUGCCCUCACCCCACGGCUUUUACACUUAAGAGGAAUGGCCCUGCCUUCUCUGGGCCCACAGCUCCUGUGGCUUGAGGUUCCAGCCGUCUUGUUAACAAUUUUUCUCCCUGCGAUGUAGGAAUGAUGGCUGUGUUAACAGGUCGGGGGGCGGUUGGGGAGACACUAACAAGAUGAUAAACCUUGGUAUUUGGCUCUGCUGCUGACUUUGAGCGAGUCCUUUUUUACCUCUCAGAGCCUUAUUUUUCUCAUCUGUAAAGUGGGGAGUCCUGCUCCCCUCCCCUGAGGUUGUUCUAAUGAGGCCGUGCUCAUAGUAGGUAAAUAAUGUACACACACAACAUGGGCAUGCACAGCGAUGGGUGCAGGUUGCAAUUGGGACUUCCCUCUGUUCCCUCCAUCACAAUUGAUGAGGGACUUUGGGGCUGAUCUUGACUUCUCCAGGAUCCUGGUCUCCCAGUAGGUUGCUAGUGAUGCUCAAAAGGUAGGGGUCUCUCCCCAGGACACUGCCAGCCUGCCCUUCUGGGAGGAAGGAGACAGAAAGGGUUACUUUGGCAAUCACGAGGCUUAAGGAUGCCCCAAUGCUUCACCCUGUCCCAAACCGACCCCCUACUCCCACCCCCAAGUCUAAAGUGGGUCCCUCUACAAUAAUCUCUCAUCACGCCAUUCAUUCUUCCUUUGUGGCACUUAUUAUAAGUGCUAAUUAUUUAUCAAUAUUUGUUUUUUUAAACAAAACUUUAUUAUGAAAAGUUUCCAACAUUUACCAGAAAAACCCAAAACAGAACAGUAUCACAGACUCCAUAUACCUAUCACCCAGCUUCAACAAUGAUCAACUCGAGGUCAAUCUUGUUUUAUCUCUACCCCUACUCACUCCUGCCUCCUAGUAUUAAUUUGAGGCAACACAUUUGUAAAUGUUUUGGUAGGUAUUGCUAAAAAUAAGGGCUCUUGUAUAAAACAUAACCACAAAUACAUGUCAUUAUACAUUUAUCCAAACCCACAGAAUGUACAACACCAAGAGUGAACCCUAAUGUGAGCUAUGGACUUGGGGUGAUGAUGGUGUGUCAGUGCAGGCUCACUACUGUAUCAAAUGCUCUGCUCUGCUGGGGGAUGUUGAUACUGUGGCAGGCUGUGCACAACGUGGGGGCAGUCUCUGUACCAUCUUCUCAAUUUUCCUGUGAACUUAAAACUACUCUAAAAAAGUUAAGUCUUAAAAAAUAAAAUCAAAAGAGCAAAGCUCCUGUUAUUAAAUCUAAAAAAUGAACAAUAAUUCUUUGGUAUGUGAUUAUUGUUAAAUGUGUAUCUCCCUCCACUGGGUUGGGAGCCUCAUGAGAGCUUGCGUGAGGCCUACUAGGUCCUUGGUGAGUAAUUGUUGGAUGGAUGGAUGGAUGGGUGGAUGAAUGGAUGGAAGGAUGGAUGGAUGGAGAAAAGGCAAAGGGAGCUGGGAGCCCACUUUGCUUUCCAUGGAUGCUGUCUGAUCCCUUCAACACUGG
rnacentral:lncRNA from 1 species